rnacentral:rRNA from 1 species
GCUCAGUAACACGUGGAGAACGUGCCCUUAAGUGGGGGAUAAUCUCGGGAAAUUGAGGAUAAUACCCCAUAGAUCAUGGGAUCUGGAAUGACCCAUGGUUCAAAGUUCCGGCGCUUAAGGAUCGCUCUGCGGCCUAUCAGGUAGUAGUGGGUGUAAAGUACCCCCUAGCCUACGACGGGUAUGGGCCUUGAGAGAGGGAGCCCAGAGUUGGAUUCUGAGACACGAAUCCAGGCCCUACGGGGCGCAGCAGUCGCGAAAACUUCACACUGGGGGAAACCCCGAUGAGGGAAAUCCUAGUGCUAGGACAUUUGUUCUAGCUUUUCUCAAGCGUAGAUAACUUGAGGAAUAAGGGCUGGGUAAGACGGGUGCCAGCCGCCGCGGUAAUACCUGCAGCCCAAGUGGUGGUCGAUUUUAUUGAGUCUAAAACGUCCGUAGCCGGUUCGGUAAAUCUUUGGGUAAAUCGGGAAGCUCAACUUUCCGACUUCCGAAGAGACUGCCGAACUUGGGACCGGGAGAGGCUAGAGGUACUUCUGGGGUAGGGGUAAAAUCCUGUAAUCCUAGAAGGACCACCGGUGGCGAAGGCGUCUAGCUAGAACGGAUCCGACGGUGAGGGACGAAGCCCUGGGUCGCAAACGGGAUUAGAUACCCCGGUAGUCCAGGGUGUAAACGCUGCAGACUUGGUGUUGGAGGCAAUUCGGUUGCAUUCAGUGCCGGAGAGAAGUUGUUAAGUCUGCUACUUGGGGAGUACGUCCGCAAGGAUGAAACUUAAAGGAAUUGGCGGGGGAGCAC